rnacentral:ncRNA from 1 species
UACAAGCCCGUGACGGGGAAAGUGACAAGUGCCCUGUAUAAGAGAGUUGAUGUUUGGUGCAAAUCAACCUGAGGCUUUGUUGAUUCCACCCCUGAGGCGUUGAUGAUGAAUCAAACCGUAGCACCGGUUAUUGUGCGCAAAAGUGAGUCGGAUUAUUAUAUCCGGCUAAUUUGGGUGGCACCGCGGAUAAAAUCUCUCGUCCCUGAU